rnacentral:tRNA from 1 species
GUGGCUAUAGCUCAGCUGGUUAGAGCAUCGGAUUGUGGUUCCGAGGGUCGUGGGUUCGAGUCCCAUUAGCCACC